CACAAUUCAAAGGAGAGGCCAUAUAUUGGAGGGGGCAGAUCCUAGAGGACUCUGACCAAAUCCCCAAAAAUGCUUCAGAAUGGAAACCUAAUGGGAAAACUGUGCACUGUCAGUAACUUGGGGAUAUAUUUCUGAAUAAAAUGUACUGAUUGCAUUUAAGUCAAGCCGAAAUAGAAAGAGGUUAGAGGUCUCCUGGUAUUUGUGAAUGAAGUUUGGGAACCACACCCUAAGAGUCACAGUCUAGCCCUGUGACUAUGGGUGUUGUGGGACAACCUGUCGGCCCACUCUGGGGAUUGUGGGAGGAAAUUACCUAAACCCAGGGAAUUCAUUUUGUGGAAGGACUCAGACUAUGCUGUUACAUACUGAAGGUAUGGAUCCCGUUCACCCUAAUA